rnacentral:rRNA from 1 species
GAUGAACGCUGGCGGCGUGCUUAACACAUGCAAGUCGAACGGAAAGGCUCCUGCUUGCAGGGGUACUCGAGUGGCGAACGGGUGAGUAACACGUGGGUGAUCUGCCCUGCACUUCGGGAUAAGCCUGGGAGGCUGGGUCUAAUACCGGAUAGGACCACAUUUUGGAUGGUGUGGUGGAAAGUUUUUCGGUGUGGGAUGAGCUCGCGGCCUAUCAGCUUGUUGGUGGGGUAAUGGCCUACCAAGGCGUCGACGGGUAGCCGGCCUGAGAGGGUGUACGGCCACAUUGGGACUGAGAUACGGCCCAGACUCCUACGGGAGGCAGCAGUGGGGAAUAUUGCACAAUGGGCGCAAGCCUGAUGCAGCGACGCCGCGUGGGGGAUGACGGCCUUCGGGUUGUAAACUCCUUUCGCUAGGGACGAAGCGCAAGUGACGGUACCUGGAGAAGAAGCACCGGCUAACUACGUG